ACGAACGCUGGCGGCAGGCUUAACACAUGCAAGUCGAGCGCCCCGCAAGGGGAGCGGCAGACGGGUGAGUAACGCGUGGGAACGUACCUUUUGCUACGGAAUAACUCAGGGAAACUUGUGCUAAUACCGUAUGUGCCCUUCGGGGGAAAGAUUUAUCGGCAAAGGAUCGGCCCGCGUUGGAUUAGCUAGUUGGUGAGGUAAAGGCUCACCAAGGCGACGAUCCAUAGCUGGUCUGAGAGGAUGAUCAGCCACACUGGGACUGAGACACGGCCCAGACUCCUACGGGAGGCAGCAGUGGGGAAUAUUGGACAAUGGGCGCAAGCCUGAUCCAGCCAUGCCGCGUGAGUGAUGAAGGCCCUAGGGUUGUAAAGCUCUUUCACCGGUGAAGAUAAUGACGGUAACCGGAGAAGAAGCCCCGGCUAACUUCGUGCCAGCAGCCGCGGUAAUACGAAGGGGGCUAGCGUUGUUCGGAUUUACUGGGCGUAAAGCGCACGUAGGCGGACUUUUAAGUCAGGGGUGAAAUCCCGGGGCUCAACCCCGGAACUGCCUUUGAUACUGGAAGUCUUGAGUAUGGUAGAGGUGAGUGGAAUUCCGAGUGUAGAGGUGAAAUUCGUAGAUAUUCGGAGGAACACCAGUGGCGAA
rnacentral:rRNA from 1 species